ensembl:lncRNA novel transcript, antisense to CYFIP2
UUUUUUUUUUUGAGAUGGAGUCUUGCUCUGUUGCCCAGGCUGGAGUGCAGUGGCAUGAUCUCAGCUCACUGCAGCCUCCACCUCUUGGGUUCAAGCAAUUCUCCUGCCUCAGCCUCCCAAGUAGCUGGGAUUACAAGUGCCCGCCACCACGCCUGGCUAAUUUUUGUGUUUUUGGUAGAGUUGGGGUUUCACCAUGUUGGCCAGGCUGGUCUCGACCUCCUGACCUGAGGUGAUCCGCCUGCCUCGGCCUUCCAAAGUGCUGGGAUUACAGGUGUGAGCCACCGCGCCCGGCCCCAUGAUUAGCUUUUAAUCACCAUUUUCAGAAGGAGAAGAGAGGCCACCUUCUGUCCUCCGCUGAGGAUUUGAGUCCUUUUGCCCUUGGUGAGAACACCAAAGAGGACCGCCGGAAUACCCUGCACUCCAGUGGAUCAGCUGACACCAUCCAGACUGGUAUCUGGCUCAAGGAGUUCUGCCAUCUCACCCAGGAACAGAAAACAGCAAGAGAAACUCACUUCGACCCUCCAUGAUUCCAUCUCCAACCUGAU